UACGUAGGGUGCGAGCGUUGUCCGGAAUUAUUGGGCGUAAAGAGCUUGUAGGCGGUUUGUCGCGUCUGCUGUGAAAAUCCGGGGCUCAACCCCGGACUUGCAGUGGGUACGGGCAGACUAGAGUGUGGUAGGGGAGACUGGAAUUCCUGGUGUAGCGGUGAAAUGCGCAGAUAUCAGGAGGAACACCGAUGGCGAAGGCAGGUCGCUGGGACGGUACUGACGCUGAGGCGCGAAAGCGUGGGGAGCAAACAGG
rnacentral:rRNA from 1 species